rnacentral:rRNA from 1 species
UACGUAGGUGGCAAGCGUUGUCCGGAUUUAUUGGGUUUAAAGGGUGCGUAGGCGGUCUUAUAAGUCAGUGCUGAAAUAUCCCGGCUUAACCGGGAGGGUGGCAUUGAUACUGUAGGACUUGAGUAAAGUUGAGGUUGGCGGAAUUGACGGUGUAGCGGUGAAAUGCUUAGAUAUCGUCAAGAACACCUAUAGCGAAGGCAGCUAACUAAACUUUAACUGACGCUGAGGCACGAAAGCAUGGGGAGCAAACAGG